rnacentral:rRNA from 1 species
GACGAACGCUGGCGGCGUGCUUAACACAUGCAAGUCGAACGGAAAGGCCCUGCUUUUGUGGGGUGCUCGAGUGGCGAACGGGUGAGUAACACGUGAGUAACCUGCCCUUGACUUUGGGAUAACUUCAGGAAACUGGGGCUAAUACCGGAUAGGAGCUCCUGCUGCAUGGUGGGGGUUGGAAAGUUUCGGCGGUUGGGGAUGGACUCGCGGCUUAUCAGCUUGUUGGUGGGGUAGUGGCUUACCAAGGCUUUGACGGGUAGCCGGCCUGAGAGGGUGGCCGGCGCCAUUGGGACUGAGAUACGGCCCAGACUCCUACGGGAGGCAGCAGGGGGGAAUAUUGCACAAUGGGCGGAAGCCUGAUGCAGCAACGCUGCGUGCGGGAUGACGGCCUUCGGGUUGUAAACCGCCUUCGCCUGUGACGAAGCGUGAGUGACGGUAAUGGGUAAAGAAGCACCGGCUAACUACGUG